CUUAGUAAAGCUAACCUAGAAGCAUUUAACUGUUAAUUAAAAGAUUGAUUUUUUGACAAAUCUACUAAGCC
rnacentral:tRNA from 1 species